ACAUAUAUGUAUGUGUGUAUAUAUAUAUAUAAGUUAGAGAUAUUAAAACCAUCUAAGGGAUAGAUGUAUCCACAGGCUCCUGGUAAUUACCUCAGUAUGUAUGGUCCUUGUUAUAAGGUAUACGGUAGUAGGUAAUUUAAAAGGUAAACCGUAGUUUAAUGUAUAUAAAGACGAUAAGACAAUGGAGAAAUAAAUAACAAUGAAAAGUGGAUCUUUGGUAUUAUAAAGCCAUUAUUUAAUUAA